rnacentral:rRNA from 1 species
UACGUAGGGGGCAAGCGUUGUCCGGAAUCAUUGGGCGUAAAGCGCGCGUAGGCGGCCCGGUAAGUCCGCUCUGAAAGUCCAGGGCUCAACCCUGGAAAGCGGGUGGAUACUGCCGGGCUAGAAUCCGGAAGAGGCGAGUGGGAUUCCUGGUGUAGCGGUGGAAUGCGCAGAUAUCAGGAGGAACACCAAUAGCGAAGGCAGCUCGCUGGGACGGUAUUGACGCUAAGGCGCGAAAGCGUGGGGAGCAAACAGG